rnacentral:tRNA from 1 species
AGAGAUUUUUGAAAGAAAAUAGCUGCUAACUAAUUUUCUAAGCGGUUAAAUUCCGUUUGUCUCUU